rnacentral:rRNA from 1 species
UGGGGGAAUAUUGCACAAUGGGGGAAACCCUGAUGCAGCGACGCCGCGUGAGUGAAGAAGUAAUUCGUUAUGUAAAGCUCUAUCAGCAGGGAAGAAAAUGACGGUACCUGAGUAAGAAGCCCCGGCUAACUACGUGCC